UAAUUGAGGACAAUUUGAGGGUGAGGAAGCACCAUUCUGCUGUCAAGCCAGCCAAGGAGUCCUUUGUCAUGGAUGUGUUCCAUUGAACUGUUGUUCCUGGAAUACAGGAAUGAGCAGAGCUGCGCACAGUUCUCAGGACUGAGAUCAUGGGAACGAUCCUGCUUGAAUUCCCUUCAGUGACUCCCUUCAGUGACCUUUUACUUACAGGACUAUCCAUUUUGUUGCAACUGAUGGAAUUACAUUCUUAAUGACUGAGUAGUCAUUUUAUGGAAGAUAUAUAGGCAUGCGUUUCUGCAAAUAAAGUACCCUUGUUUCAC